UCCUCUCAGGUGAGGAAGCUGGAUUUUGUGUUCUGUUUCAGGUGACCAGGAACCAUGUGUUCAUCGACAGAUACCAGAACUGCCAGAAUUGACACCUGAAUCAGAGGGCUGUCUUCGGUGUGUUGUGCUGUGAGACGAGGUGGAAGACCUUAGAGAUGAAGUAGUAGUGAUCCAGUACUUACACAAACAGUUCCAGAAUGUAUGAUGU